UGGACAUUUACUUCUAUUCAGUUUCUUCUGAAGGUGAAGAUAACUCUUUGUAAAUGUCCUAAAGAAAUACAGUAGCUUUCUGUUCACCCUUUGCUAGUAAAAAGGGUGGAUCGUUCCACUACUGACAUUU
rnacentral:snoRNA from 8 species